GUAUUAAAUGCUCAAAGAUUUUGGAUUGGAGGCUUAAUAUCCGAGCAGGAAGGGAACAAAAAAAAUGUAAUUUGCCACUAAGACCCAAAUUCGCCUCCCAUAUAAGAUAUAAUAACUGAGACUGAAGCUCAGCAACAGUAAUAAAGUUUACUCACAGAGUCACAGUCAUAGUGACUCUUCUCCGACGUCGUUUAAAGUUCUCCGAUACCCAUUGAGUCCCGCCGGAGCUCUGAAGCCGGAAACAUAACUGUGACUCUAAUCCGAUUAAGGUUCAGGGUAAGCUUUCCUUGACAUAUAUACCUCUGUCAGCUUGCUAUGGCAGCCUCUGAAACUGCCCCGCCUCUGGAUAUCUUAGUUCGAGGCCCGGAAGGGUUCUCGCUCUGGAAUGGGCCCCCAUUUAGCAAUGGGCAACCUGGUAUCAAGCUUGAAAACAUUUCCUGCACAAGUACAAAAUUCAGUGAAGAUGGAUCGAGGCUGAUGGUGAUGAAAUCUGAUUCAGUAAUUAGCAUAUAUGAUUGCAGCAGCUACAGGGAGAU